AAAUUGAAGAGUUUGAUCAUGGCUCAGAUUGAACGCUGGCGGCAGGCCUAACACAUGCAAGUCGAACGGUAACAGGAAGCAGCUUGCUGCUUUCGCUGACGAGUGGCGGACGGGUGAGUAAUGUCUGGGAAACUGCCUGAUGGAGGGGGAUAACUACUGGAAACGGUAGCUAAUACCGCAUAACGUCGCAAGACCAAAGAGGGGGACCUUCGGGCCUCUUGCCAUCGGAUGUGCCCAGAUGGGAUUAGCUUGUUGGUGGGGUAACGGCUCACCAAGGCGACGAUCCCUAGCUGGUCUGAGAGGAUGACCAGCCACACUGGAACUGAGACACGGUCCAGACUCCUACGGGAGGCAGCAGUGGGGAAUAUUGCACAAUGGGCGCAAGCCUGAUGCAGCCAUGCCGCGUGUAUGAAGAAGGCCUUCGGGUUGUAAAGUACUUUCAGCGGGGAGGAAGGGAGUAAAGUUAAUACCUUUGCUCAUUGACGUUACCCGCAGAAGAAGCACCGGCUAACUCCGUGCCAGCAGCCGCGGUAAUACGGAGGGUGCAAGCGUUAAUCGGAAUUACUGGGCGUAAAGCGCACGCAGGCGGUUUGUUAAGUCAGAUGUGAAAUCCCCGGGCUCAACCUGGGAACUGCAUCUGAUACUGGCAAGCUUGAGUCUCGUAGAGGGGGGUAGAAUUCCAGGUGUAGCGGUGAAAUGCGUAGAGAUCUGGAGGAAUACCGGUGGCGAAGGCGGCCCCCUGGACGAAGACUGACGCUCAGGUGCGAAAGCGUGGGGAGCAAACAGGAUUAGAUACCCUGGUAGUCCACGCCGUAAACGAUGUCGACUUGGAGGUUGUGCCCUUGAGGCGUGGCUUCCGGAGCUAACGCGUUAAGUCGACCGCCUGGGGAGUACGGCCGCAAGGUUAAAACUCAAAUGAAUUGACGGGGGCCCGCACAAGCGGUGGAGCAUGUGGUUUAAUUCGAUGCAACGCGAAGAACCUUACCUGGUCUUGACAUCCACGGAAGUUUUCAGAGAUGAGAAUGUGCCUUCGGGAACCGUGAGACAGGUGCUGCAUGGCUGUCGUCAGCUCGUGUUGUGAAAUGUUGGGUUAAGUCCCGCAACGAGCGCAACCCUUAUCCUUUGUUGCCAGCGGUCCGGCCGGGAACUCAAAGGAGACUGCCAGUGAUAAACUGGAGGAAGGUGGGGAUGACGUCAAGUCAUCAUGGCCCUUACGACCAGGGCUACACACGUGCUACAAUGGCGCAUACAAAGAGAAGCGACCUCGCGAGAGCAAGCGGACCUCAUAAAGUGCGUCGUAGUCCGGAUUGGAGUCUGCAACUCGACUCCAUGAAGUCGGAAUCGCUAGUAAUCGUGGAUCAGAAUGCCACGGUGAAUACGUUCCCGGGCCUUGUACACACCGCCCGUCACACCAUGGGAGUGGGUUGCAAAAGAAGUAGGUAGCUUAACCUUCGGGAGGGCGCUUACCACUUUGUGAUUCAUGACUGGGGUGAAGUCGUAACAAGGUAACCGUAGGGGAACCUGCGGUUGGAUCACCUCCUUACCUUAAAGAAGC
rnacentral:rRNA from 6 species